rnacentral:rRNA from 1 species
UACGAAGGGGGCUAGCGUUGUUCGGAAUUACUGGGCGUAAAGCGCACGUAGGCGGAUCGAUCAGUCAGGGGUGAAAUCCCAGAGCUCAACUCUGGAACUGCCUUUGAUACUGGGAGGCUUGAGUGCGGGAGAGGGAUGUGGAAUUCCAGGUGUAGCGGUGAAAUGCGUAGAUAUCUGGAGGAACACCGGUGGCGAAGGCGGCAUCCUGGACCGACACUGACGCUGAGGCGCGAAAGCCAGGGGAGCAAACGGG